AUUAGUGGCAGACGGGUGAGUAAUGCAUAGGAAUCUACCUAGUAGUAUGGGAUAGCCACUAGAAAUGGUGGGUAAUACUGUAUAAUCCCUGCGGGGGAAAGAUUUAUCGCUAUUAGAUGAGCCUAUGUUAGAUUAGCUAGUUGGUAGGGUAAAGGCCUACCAAGGCGAUGAUCUAUAGCUGGUCUGAGAGGAUGAUCAGCCACACUGGAACUGAGAUACGGUCCAGACUCCUACGGGAGGCAGCAGUGGGGAAUAUUGGACAAUGGGCGCAAGCCUGAUCCAGCUAUGCCGCGUGAGUGAGGAAGGCCUUAGGGUUGUAAAACUCUUUCAGUAGGGAAGAUAAUGACGGUACCUACAGAAGAAGUCCCGGCAAACUCCGUGCCAGCAGCCGCGGUAAUACGGAGGGGGCAAGCGUUGUUCGGAAUUAUUGGGCGUAAAGGGCAUGUAGGCGGUUCGG
rnacentral:rRNA from 1 species